GUACUCUCACACUCUCUAAUCCUUUGGAUUUGGGGAGCGGUGGACUUGGGUGUUUGCUGCUUUUCCUUGUGGCUCACCUCAAAUGUGUUAGUGUACCUCUUGGUUGGACAUAGUACGGCGUGAUAAGUGUCUUCGCCGGCACCUCGCAAGAGGGUGGCCGACUGGGAGCUCUGUGCUUCCAACUGUCCUUGGACAAUGACUGACG
rnacentral:misc_RNA from 1 species